UACGGAGGGUGCAAGCGUUAUCCGGAUUCACUGGGUUUAAAGGGUGCGUAGGUGGCUUUGUAAGUCAGUGGUGAAAGCCUGGAGCUCAACUCCAGAACUGCCAUUGAUACUGCUUAGCUUGAAUCACGUCGAGGUGGAUGGAAUAUUACAUGUAGCGGUGAAAUGCUUAGAUAUGUAAUAGAACACCGAUUGCGAAGGCAGUUCACUAGGCGUGUAUUGACACUGAGGCACGAAAGCGUGGGGGAUCAAACAGG
rnacentral:rRNA from 1 species